UUUAAAAAAAUUAAAUAUUUAUAAAAUAUGAAAAAUUCUGAAGAAUUUCGUGUCACUCGGCAAUCAACACCAUUUUGUACAAGUACUAACCUUUGUUUGGGAUACAUAAUUUACGUUUAUAUCCUUUCUGAGGUCGGGGCAUCUCUAUAAAGAAUAAAUUAAAAAUGAAGUUUUAGUUCUAAAUGGGGAACUUUCAAACAAUGGAAAAAUUUUCAUUUUAUAAAAAUGCAAAGUCUUCUACAAACAAAUUAAUUUGGAAAGAUGUGAAAGUUUUAUGUUAAUAAUUAAUGCUGAAAAUUGUAAAUCACGACAGAUUUAAUAAAAAAAAAUAAGAUAAAAAUUAAAAACUACCAAUUUUCUUGAAAAAACCAAGCAAAAAUAUAUUAAUUACCAAUUGGCAUUCACAACAUGGAACUCGAAGAUCUCUAGACACUAUACAAGCUUGUUUCCCAUUGAUGGCAGGUCUGUAGAAUAGGACAUUUUUGAUAGUUUUUGCAUUAGCCGAGGACAUUCCAAUUUGGUCCCCUGUACAGCAAAUUUGUUUCACCCUGUUAUAUAUAAAUAGUAGUAUAUAGUAAGAUAUAUUUAAAAGAUGGCAUGUGGAUAAUUCUGCACCUAACAAUUAAUUUCUAAAACAAAAUGUUAAUCGGAGGAGCGGCUAUGGAGUGGCACUCCAUUUCUUGGAGCGAGAGCUAGCGCCUUUUAAAAAUUUAGUAGCGGGAACGGAAGCUAUCUCCUUUCGAGAAGGUAGGAACAAGAGCGUGAGCCAGCUACUUUUAAAAAGGAGCGUUAACAACUCUGAAUAUUAAUCUACAAUCUACUGCAAACCAGCCUAAACCGUUAUCUAUAAAGCAUAAAUUCCAACAAUUAAAACCCCAACAAACCACCUAUGAUCAAGGAUAUGGAUUCAGAAUAAUUACAGAAUAGAUCAGCAACAUACAUAUACUAUGAUUAUCAUUUACUUUAAUUUAUAUAAUGGAUAAUUUUUUUUUUAAAAAUGAGUAAUAGUUUGUUAUACACUACAUAAGUUUGUUCUUAAUACUUUACUUCCAUAGUUUUAUCAUGAGAAAUAUUUUAAUUUUUUUAUUAUUCAUCAAGUUAAAUAUAUUUGCUCUCAACAAAUUAAUAAAGGGCAGUCAGAAGCCAUUACCAAUUCUAUGUAAUAUAUGUCUAUACAAAUAAAUAUAAAAAUGGGAAAUGAAUGCAAUAACCAUGCUUUAAUGAAACGUCGAUGAUGGGGGGUGGGGGAGGUUAUUAAUAAAAACAAAUCUUUCCUCUAUUUUCACUGUAUAAUAAAUAUUAUAUAGAAAGGCUUGAUUUUAAUUUUUCCAUAAUAUUCAAAAAAUAAGAUAAAGCUUAUAACUCACAUGUUAAUUUGCUAUAAUUAGAUGAAGUUUAUUAAUUUCUGUAUAGAUUUUUAAUAAACAUAUUUAUCACCGUUUUGGAGCAUUUCCUUGUCAGUCAACAAUAAGAUAGCAUCUUAUUAAUCCUGUUUUGUUCGGAAGAAUUUAUGUCAAUGUUAUCAAUAGCACAAAAGAUACAAUGAUUCGAUAUUCUAUUAAGGAAAAGAGAACAAAUUUAGCCUUACAUUCUUUUUUUAUAUGAAAAAAUUGUAUUUUUGAAUAAUUUAAGGAAUCUAAUAAGAUUUUUCAACAAAUCCCAAUUAAAAUUAAACAAUUUUAUAUAACAAGCUGCAUACAUAGAUGUACUCUGUAUUUUGCUAAAGGUGGAGGGGGAAGAAUUAAUAGUUUGGUUUUUCACCAUAAAUUUUAUUGGAAGUCUUUAAGUCCGCAUAUUACAGGCCAUUGGCUAUAUUAUAUUUUUUGAAGAAUAAUUUUGGGCUUUCACUUUUUUAAAUAAAAAUUUUGAAGUCAUUAUUUUUAAAAUUAUUAUCUUACAUUUAUUUUUUAUUAAAAUGAUUGUUUAUAGUAAUAUCGUGUAUAGAUUUUUGGGCUGGAAAGAGGGGGGGGGGUAUGUAGGAGGAAAUUUUUUAGUUUAAAAUGAUAUUUACGAGA